GCAUAUCAAUAAGCGGAGGAAAAGAAACUAACAAGGAUUCCCCUAGUAACGGCGAGUGAAGCGGGAAGAGCUCAAAUUUGAAAUCUGGUGGCCUCAGGUCAUCCGAGUUGUAAUCUAUAGAAGUGUUUUCCGUGCUGGCUCAUGUACAAGUCCCUUGGAACAGGGCGUCAUAGAGGGUGAGAAUCCCGUCCUUGACAUGAACUACCAGUGCUCUGUGAUACAUUUUCAACGAGUCGAGUUGUUUGGGAAUGCAGCUCAAAAUGGGUGGUAAAUUCCAUCUAAAGCUAAAUAUUGGCGAGAGACCGAUAGCGAACAAGUACCGUGAGGGAAAGAUGAAAAGCACUUUGGAAAGAGAGUUAAACAGUAUGUGAAAUUGUUAAAAGGGAAACGAUUGAAGUCAGUCGUGCUCUUUGGAUUCAGCCGGUUCUGCCGGUGUACAUCCUUUGAGUGGGGUCAACAUCAGUUUUGAUCGCUGGAUAAAGGCUGGAGGAACGUAGCACCCUCGGGUGAACUUAUAGCCUCCUGUCACAUACAGUGGUUGGGACUGAGGAACGCAGCACGCCUUUAUGGCCGGGAUUCGUCCACGUACGUGCUUAGGAUGUUGACAUAAUGGCUUUAAACGACCCGUCUUGAAACACGGACC
rnacentral:rRNA from 1 species